UGUGCUGUGGUCGCUCUUUAUGUUCUGUUUUACAGGGGACAUCUUUAGCUGAUGAGCUGCACCUGGGCCCAGUGCAGUGCCUUUAAAAGGCCUCUGGUCUUCAGUCUGGCGCGCUCCUCCCUCCUUGGUCCACACGCGCCAUGUGAUUGCUGCGGUGUUGCAGGCUUUUGGUUUAUCUUUUUGUUUAUUUGGGUUUUUGCAUCCAUACAUCUACCCAUCACCAUGCAUGCCUACACUACUGAUACUGAUACUGAUGAUGGUUGUUAUGAUUUGGUGUUUUGUGAUAUUUUGUAAUAAAUUUAGCUUAUUUGGAGUUAUCCUCGUCUCUGCUCCCGUUUUUGGUUGCAGCCUUUGAGCCGGGUUGUAACAGAUGGGGGCUCGAGUGUCGGGAGUAGUGUAAACGAGGGUAAGUGCUCUUAGUGUGUGUUUUUCAGUAUGUCCGCUGGUUGUUUGAGGAGCAGUGGUUAUAGCUCGUGGUAGUCGACUCAGAGGUUCGAUGCAGGCGCCGGAAGUUACCGUUGUGCCCGUCCCUGUUAGGCUUUAGUGCGGAGUCCAUUUGGAGUUCGUAUGGGGGGUUGUGGUGUGAAAGUGGUUGGAGCAAUAAGCUCGGGAGCACGGCCGAGACUGCAGGUGGGGUCGCCGAGUGUCGGUUGCUUUGCCGGGUCUGUGGUAUUUGGUGCAUAAGUACCCGCCGCAAUUAGCGCCUGAAGACUAGGGGGGAGUUUAGCUAGUCUUCUGGUUAGGCAGUUAGGGGGACGGGGCCGCGGUGACGUCAAGGCUGUGUGUGUGUGGAGGAUCGUCUGCGCUGAGCGGAUUAGACGCAUCAGGUGAGUGAAUGUGUUAGGGGAUGCGUUGUAGUUAUGGCAAGUGUGGAGGAGUUUUUGAGAGCGCCGUCAGAGGAGCUGUUGGAGAGCUGCUCGCGUGAACAGUUAGUUCGUAUUGCCGACUAUUUUAGUUUAGAUGUUGGUGAUAAACGUAUGAAGGAUAAUAUUAAAAGCAUUAUAAAGGCUAAUCUCGUUGAUCGAGGUAUGCUUGGAUCUAAGAAACAGGCUGUUGAUCUUGAGGUGGGUCAGGUGGAUAUGUCUGGCUGUGGCGAGGCAAGUUUAACUUUUGAGCAGAGGAGAGAGUUGUUGCUUUUGCAGACAGAGAUGGAGAAGUUGGCACUUUUAAGGAAAGAGGCAGAAAUUAAAAAAAUGGAGAUGGAGGAGCGCAGGUUAAGUUUUCCUGCUGGAACAGCUAGUCCAGUCUUAGGCUUGGGUAGAUCAACCACUUCUUUUGAUGUUGUUAGUAAUUUGCGUCUACUUCCUCAGUUCAAUGAGCGUGAUCCAGAUACAUUUUUCUCGCUGUUUGAAAGAGUAGCGGAGAGUAGGGAGUGGUCGGAUCCAGAGUGUACAUUGUUGUUGCAAUGUGUGCUGACGGGUAGAGCGCAGGAGGCCUACUCUGCUUUGACAGUGGCAGAAAGUAAAGCGUAUUCAACAGUUAAAGCUGCUGUGUUAAAGGCUUAUGAGUUAGUUCCAGAGGCCUACCGUAGGAAGUUUAGAGCUUGGGAGAAAUCCACCAGUCAGAGUCAUAUGGAAUUUGCCAGAGAUUUAGUUACCUUUUUUAACCGGUGGUGCAAUUCAUUAAAAAUAGAUAGUUAUGUUGCUCUGUGUGACUUGAUUGUUUUGGAACAAUUUAAAAAUUCUGUCCCCAGCCACAUCGCUGUAUACAUAAGUGAGCACAAGGUGAAGACUGCCACUGAGGCGGCUGCUUUGGCUGACGAGUAUGUGCUGACACACAGGGGUGACCGAGUCUCCAGGAUUUCAGAGGGGGGUGGUAUGCGUCGUAAUCCAGGUAGAUGGGAGGAGAGGCCUCCACAACGCCCCGGUAAGUUUGAACAUGCCCCACGAGGUCAGAUGUGUUUUGAUUCUUCAAAGAUAUGUAACUUCUGUAGGGGAAGAGGGCACUGGAAAGCUGAUUGCCCAAAAGUUAAUGCUAAAAGGGGAGUUGUUGGUCAGGCAAAUUCAGCUGCUUGUGCAGUUUCUGUGGAACCUGUUUUUGCUUCACAGGCCAACCAGAUGGAUGUUGGAGAACCCAGUAAUUUGGAAAAAACUGACUUUUCUGCCUUUGUGUCUGAUGGCUGGGUCUCUCUGGGUAAAGGUAAUGUCAGGGUCCCUGUUAAAAUUUUGAGGGACACUGCAGCAUGUGAUUCAUACAUUUUGGACUCAGUGCUGCCAUUUUCUGAUAAUUCCAAUACUGGAGACUUUGUUUUAAUGCGGGGGAUGGGGAUGAAUGUUGUUCCUGUUCCUUUGCAUUCUGUGGUUCUUAACUGUGGUUUGGUCCAGGGUGAGGUUGCUCUUGGUGUUCGACCUGCACUGCCUAUUGAAGGAGUGGAUGUUAUCCUUGGAAACGGCCUGGCGGGUAGUCGAGUGUGGCCUGAUAGGCCACCUCCUCCAAUCGUGUCUUCGACACCUACUGUGUCUGUUGACCAGGAUGAGAAUGCUCAGUGUUUUCCGGAAGUGUUUGCAGCUUGUGCCGUGACACGAACUGGGAGUCGUGCCAAAGAAGAAUUUAAGUUGAAUGACGGAGAGGUGAGUGAGGCGGAUAUGGUUGUUGUCCCUGACUCACUGUUGUCUGUAUCUCGCAGUGAUCUGGUGGUGGAGCAGAGAGCUGAUCCCUCCCUCAGACCAUUGUUUGAGUUGGUCCUUGCCACUGAGGAUGUGAACAGUGUUGCUGGUGGUUACCUGUUGCAGGGUGAACUUUUGGUGAGGAAAUGGUUGCCACAUGGGGAAGACUUUGUAGGUAAGCCAGUGUUUCAGACUGUGGUGCCUGCAAAAUUUCGUGACGACAUUCUUAAGACGGCGCAUAAUCAAUUGGGACAUUUAGGGGUGCGUAAAACUUACAAUUACAUCUUGCACUACUUUUUUUGGCCUCGUUUGAAGAAAGAUGUGUCUCGUUACAUAAGAUUGUGUCACACAUGUCAAAUGACAGGGAAGCCUAAUCAAAACAUUAAAUCUGCUCCAUUGUGCCCCAUUCCUGCCAUUGGGCAACCUUUUGAGCACUUGAUCAUUGAUUGCGUAGGACCUUUACCUCGUUCCAAAGCAGGAAGUAAUUAUUUGCUCACUGUAAUGUGCCAAAGUACGCGAUACCCGGCUGCAUAUCCAUUACGUUCCAUUACAACAAAAUCAAUAGUCAAAGCUCUGACGCAGUUUAUUUCUAUUUUUGGGAUUCCAAAGGUGAUCCAGAGUGAUCAAGGAUCAAACUUUUCAUCCAAACUUUUUGCUCAGGUGUUGAAGCAAUUAAAAAUCCAACAUAAUUGGGCGUCUGCCUAUCAUCCACAGAGUCAGGGAGCUUUAGAGAGGUUUCACCAAACUCUGAAGUCAUUGUUGCGGAGUUUUUGUGUUGAGUUAAACCAAGAUUGGGAGGAAGGGUUGCCAUGGUUGCUACUAGCUGCUAGGGAAGUAUCACAGGAAAGUACGGGCUUUAGCCCCAAUGAGCUUGUUUUUGGUCACACAGUGCGUGGGCCACUUACAUUGGCUCAUGAUGGCGUUGCAUUGUCUGAGCCACCGAGUAAUCUUAUAGAUUAUGUAAAUGGUUUCCGUCAUCGUUUAUAUUCGGCUGGGGAGAUGGCUAAGGAGAAGUUGUUGAAUGCCCAGACAAAAAUGAAGCGGCUAUAUGAUCGAAAAACUGAACAGCGUGAGUUUAGUCCAGGGGAUCAGGUCCUGGCUUUGUUACCAGUGGUUCAUUCUCCCUUCCAGGCUAGAUUUACUGGUCCUUUUACUGUGUUGCGUCAGGUGUCUGAACAAAAUUAUCUGUUGUCUACACCAAAAAGCAGGAAAUCCACCAGACUCUGUCAUGUUAAUUUGUUAAAGCCUUACUAUUUUUCAGAGAACAAGUCUCCCUCCUCGAUAGCAGCAGUGAGGAGCCAGUUUCCCACUGACGGUGAUGACGGAGUGUUGGUGCCAGAUGAAACUUUGCUGCAUGGCAAACUGAAAAAUUCUGAGACACUAGGCAAACUUGAAUCCCUACUGAGUCAUCUAUCUGGAGAGAGAUGUGCUGAGUUGUGUGCUUUAAUUCAUAGCUAUUCCUGUUUAUUUGGGGAUACGCCUACUCAAACACAUGUUAUAGAGCAUGAUAUAGAUGUUGGCGAUGCACAGCCCAUUCGCCAGCGUUUUUAUCGCGUAUCUGAAGAGAAGCACAAACUAAUGGAAACAGAAAUUAAAUACAUGCUUGAAAAUGGCAUUGCCCAGCAUUCAUCUUCAAGUUGGGCUUCACCUUGCUUACUUGUUGAAAAGUCUGACAAGAGUCCUAGGUUUUGUACAGAUUUUCGGAAAGUAAAUGCAGUUACCAAACCAGAUGCAUAUCCCUUGCCACGGGUAGAGGACUGUAUUGACCAGGUUGGAUCUGCGCAAUUUGUCAGUAAAUUUGAUCUGUUGAAGGGCUAUUGGCAAGUCCCUCUAUCUGAAAGAGCGAAAGAAAUUUCUGCAUUUAUUACUCCAUCUGGUUUGUUUUCUUAUACAGUUAUGAGUUUUGGUCUUCGAAAUGCUCCUGCGACAUUCCAGCGCCUUAUGAAUAUAGUGCUUUCAGGUUUGGAAGGAUGUGCUGUGUAUCUUGAUGAUGUUGUGAUUUAUAGCAACACCUGGGAGGAACACCUGGCCCGUAUUAAGGAGUUAUUUGACCGUCUGAGGGAGGCACGACUCACAGUGAACCUGGCUAAGUGUGAGUUUGCCAAGGCUACAGUCACCUACCUUGGCAAAGUUGUAGGGCAGGGAAAGGUGUGUGCAGUUCAAGCUAAAGUCAGGGCAAUUGAGGACUUUCCAGUGCCCACCACUAAGAAAGAGCUACAACGUUUCCUUGGUUUAGUUGGGUACUAUCGCAAUUUUUGCAGAAAUUUCUCAACUGUGAUAGCUCCCCUGACUGAUUUGUUAAAGGGUAAAGUCCGUUUCAUCUGGUCUGAAUCUUGUCAACUGGCUUUUGAUAAUGUAAAGGCUAUUCUGUGCUCGCCUCCUGUUCUUGCAGCCCCUCGCAUGGGACUACCUUUUACUUUACAGGUGGAUGCCAGUGAUGUGGGGGCUGGCGCAGUGUUGUUGCAGGCUGGGGAUGAUGGAAUGGAUCGUCCCGUGAGUUUUUAUUCCAAAAAGUUCAAUGCCUAUCAGUUAAACUAUUCUGUGAUUGAGAAAGAGACUCUCGCUCUCAUUUGGGCUUUGCAGCACUUUGAUGUUUAUGUUGGCUCCAGUAUUCCUUUGACUGUUUACACGGAUCAUAACCCUAUCACAUUUCUGAAUUCAGUACGCUGCCCAAAUCGCAGGUUGAUGCGGUGGAUGUUGUACUUGCAAGCCUACUGCCUGGAUAUCUGUCACAUCAGAGGCUCAGAGAAUAUUGUGGCUGAUGCUUUGUCCAGAGCACCCCUUCCUUAGAGUGUUUGACUGUUUAUCUCUUCGCUCUACUGUGUCUUGUUCUGUUCCUCUUGACUGCUUCAGGCGCCGGAGCUGCUGAGGGAUCUGGACAUGGCUAGUUGUUUGACUGGAGAACAACUUACCAGUGGGGACAUCUUUAGCUGAUGAGCUGCACCUGGGCCCAGUGCAGUGCCUUUAAAAGGCCUCUGGUCUUCAGUCUGGCGCGCUCCUCCCUCCUUGGUCCACACGCGCCAUGUGAUUGCUGCGGUGUUGCAGGCUUUUGGUUUAUCUUUUUGUUUAUUUGGGUUUUUGCAUCCAUACAUCUACCCAUCACCAUGCAUGCCUACACUACUGAUACUGAUACUGAUGAUGGUUGUUAUGAUUUGGUGUUUUGUGAUAUUUUGUAAUAAAUUUAGCUUAUUUGGAGUUAUCCUCGUCUCUGCUCCCGUUUUUGGUUGCAGCCUUUGAGCCGGGUUGUA